UUUCAACCAAAUAAAAUUAAUCUAUAUAAAUCAAGAAAUCAACUUGCCUUAUGAAUUUCUUAAAACUUUGGCUCGUGCCAACACUCAUACUCGGUGAUACCUUGCGCAGGGCAUCCAACCGAGCCCGCCAAGGUUGUUAAAAUUUCAUAUACACUUAAAAUAUAUUUUUAGUUUGAGAAAAUACAGCUGUUCCUUGGCGUUGGCUGAGUUCCCCUUCACGUGGUGGUUUAGCGUGAAGUGAACCCUAAGCUUUACCCUAGAAGAUACCUUACGCGCCUCUCCGUUCGGGGUAAGAAUAUACUGAAGUUUAC
rnacentral:lncRNA from 1 species